rnacentral:rRNA from 1 species
AGGGCACCACCAGGAGUGGGGCCUGCGGCUUAAUUUGACUCAACACGGGAAAACUCACCCGGCCCGGACACUGGAAGGAUUGACAGAUUGAGAGCUCUUUCUUGAUUCAGUGGGUGGUGGUGCAUGGCCGUUCUUAGUUGGUGGAGUGAUUUGUCUGGUUAAUUCCGAUAACGAACGAGACUCUAGCCUAUUAAAUAGAUCGUUGGCUUACAAACGCCGGCGAGACUUCUUAGAGGGACAGGCGGCGAUUCAGCCGCACGAAACAGAGCAAUAACAGGUCUGUGAUGCCCUUAGAUGUCCGGGGCCGCACGCGCGCUACACUGAAGUGAUCAGCGUGCAUUUUGAAACCUACUCUGUCAAGAGUGGGGAACCCAAUGAACCUUCUUCGUGAUUGGGAUAGGGGAUUGUAAUUAUUCCCCUUGAACGAGGAAUUCCCAGUAAGCGCGAAUCAUAAGUUUGCGCUGAUUACGUCCCUGCCCUUUGUACACACCGCCCGUCGCUACUACCGAUUGAAUGUUU